UACAGAGGUCUCAAGCGUUGUUCGGAUUCAUUGGGCGUAAAGGGUGUGUAGGUGGCGCCGUAAGUCGGGUGUGAAAUCUCGGGGCUUAACUCCGAAACUGCAUUCGAUACGGCGGUGCUUGAGGACUGGAGAGGAGACUGGAAUUCAUGGUGUAGCAGUGAAAUGCGUAGAGAUCAUGAGGAAGACCAGUGGCGAAGGCGGGUCUCUGGACAGUUCCUGACACUGAGACACGAAGGCCAGGGGAGCAAACGGG
rnacentral:rRNA from 1 species